rnacentral:misc_RNA from 1 species
AGAGGAAGUAAAAGUCGUAACAAGGUUUCCGUAGGUGAACCUGCGGAAGGAUCAUUACAGGAUGCUGGGCGCAAGCCCGUGCAGACACGUGGAUAAGCAAGGAUAAAAAUACAUUAAAUUUAUUUAGUUUAGUCAAGAAAGAAUUUUAAAACUUUCAACAAUGGAUCUCUUGGUUCUCGCGUCGAUGAAGAGCGCAGCGAAUUGCGAUACUUAAUGUGAAUUGCAGAUUUUCGUGAAUCAUCGAGUUCUUGAACGCACAUUGCGCCCUCUGGUAUUCCGGAGGGCAUGCCUGUUUGAGCGUCAUUUCCUUCUCACUAUUUAGUGGUUAUGAGAUUACACGAGGGUGUUUUCUUCAAAGGAAAGAGGGGAGAGUGAGGGGAUAAUGAUUUAAGGUUUCGGCCGUUCAUUAUUUUUUUCUUCUCCCCCAGUUAUCAAGUUUGACCUCAAAUCAGGUAGGAGGACCCGCUGAACUUAAGCAUAUC